rnacentral:rRNA from 1 species
UACGAAGGGGGCUAGCGUUGUUCGGAAUCACUGGGCGUAAAGCGCACGUAGGCGGAUUGUUAAGUCGGGGGUGAAAUCCUGAGGCUCAACCUCAGAACUGCCUUCGAUACUGGCAAUCUCGAGUCCGGAAGAGGUUGGUGGAACAGCUAGUGUAGAGGUGAAAUUCGUAGAUAUCGAGAAGAACACCAAUAGCGAAAGCACUCUGCUGGGCCGAAACUGACAUUGAGAGACGAAAGCUAGGGGAGCAAAAGGG